UUACCCAGCUGACCCCAGUACUUCAGCCUGUGAUGAAGCAGCACUGACUGAGAGCAGGUGCACCCUGCUCUCUUUAAUUUGGGGCUGGGAUGCAAAAUCAGCAGUGGUUGUGCGAAGGCCAGCAUCAUUGUGAUGUGCUCAGCUCCAGCAGUCUACGUGACCCGGCUCAGACACGGUGUGUUUUGCCCAGGAACCAGCAGUAGUUUGCUGUGGUCACCCCCUUAAUGGCUGAGCAGCACUUGGGAAGGGAAGGGCUGAGAGGUGAUCACCAGCUGAGGGGUUUCUCCCUGCCAGCUUGGCAGCUCUGCAGAACCAGCAUCCCCCAGCAAGCUGGCCAGAAGGUUCCUUCACCACCAGCCAAGAGAAAGUGACUGCUCCAAGUGAUUCAACUCGCUUCGUGCCAGCGUCUGAGGCUGAACCCCUCCAGCCCUGGACUGGCUGGUCACGUCACUAAAGAGGUUCCUUGUGGGAAGCCGUGGGAGAGCAUCACGAGCUUGGACUGGAUGCUGGAGACAAAGUGAAAUUGCACGUGUCUCAUUUAGUGCUCUGUCACAUUUCAGGCUUGAUUUGGCCAUCACCACAGGGAGGCAGCUUGUGCUUCCACGCAAAGAAUGAAGCACAAACCUUGAGCCUACAAACUCCUCCAAAGUGUGGCCCUGCAAACUCUCCUCCCCAGCAGCUGCUGCAUCAACCAGGAAUGGUUCUGCCAAGAAGAUUAAAAAAAAAUAAAAAAUAAAAAAAAAAAAAACAGAUAUGAAGUGGCAAUAACCUGGCAGGAAGGAUUUGGUGACAAGGCCAGGAAGCAAGCAGUUAUUGCAGGGUUAUUUCCAGAUGCACUGUGGUCGUGCCAUACAUUAAAAAGCUGUGACGUGCAUAAAGAUGAGAAAAUGUUUGCCUCCAAAAUCAGCUGCUUUGUGCAUAGAUAUAGCCACUGUAGAUAAACCCACUCUCAGGAGUGGGUUUCCAGUCCUUGCCUUUGCAGAACAGGGCUAGACAGCGGGGAUCCAGAAGAGGGGAAACCUAGAGCUCAAAUAAAAAGCCAUCAAAGGCUCCUGAUGCACCUGAGCAUCCAGAAACACACACACAUUUCAUGUGCCAGGGCAAAAAGGUUAAGAUGUCACUGAAUGUCUGAGAAAAAAUGUGGACACAACUUCUGUGUUCUUCCUAGGCAAAUGCAAAAGUCUCUCCUCGUGCUGAUGAUGUCUGAGAAGGACAAAAACAGGGCCUCCCAGGUGCUUUUGAUGAAGGAUGUUCCUCUUCCUCCAGCCUGGAAAUCCAGAUUCUCAUAAGAAUCAGGCCAGCAUUAGGUAAGAAACAUGGCCUGAAAGCUCAGGCUUGCAAUUGUUUUGUUCUCUGGGAAUACAGAGACACACAGCAAUCUGCUGUGACAGCAGGUGGUUUGAAGAGUAUUUACUGAAAGAUGGAUUUUCCUCCCCACCAUGCCCCAAGCAACACAGUUGGGCAAAACAAAGUGAUCACAAAAAUUACACAUAGUGACAGAAGCAAAACAUGUCACCAGAAAAAUGCCUUCUGGUGCUGUUUUGUUGUUUUUGUGCGGGGCAUCCCAGCUGGGUUCUGAGAAGCUCCCAGCACUCCCUUUGGUUAUUUAUCUGUUUUAAACAGCUUGAAGAAAUAUCACAGCUUUCUUCCUAUGAUAGUGAUGUGGCGUGUUUCUGAAAGGACUCUUCAGAAAUGAGGAUUUCUCUUGAUGUCCAGCUCACAGGAUAUGGCAUGUUCCAGCUCACAGUGUCUAUUUAAGUCCCGUGAAGGUUAAUAUGUUCCUGGGCGAGUCAGCUAGGAGACCACACUGCCAGUCAAUGGCACAGAGGGUGCUCUGAGCUGCCAAGGUGAAGAGCUUGCCUUGC